rnacentral:rRNA from 1 species
UACGUAGGUGGCGAGCGUUACUCGGAAUUACUAGGCGUAAAGCGCGUGUAGGCGGGAGGUUAAGUUUGCUGUUAAAUCUCGUGGCUCAACCACGAAAUGUCGGCAAAUACUGGCUUUCUUGAAUUCGGUAGAGGAAACUGGAAUUCCAGGCGUAGCGGUGAAAUGCGUAGAUAUCUGGAAGAACGCCAAAGGCGAAGGCAGGUUUCUGGACCGCAAUUGACGCUGAGACGCGAAAGCUAGGGGAGCAAACAGGAUUAGAAACCCGGGUAGU